UUUCCUCCCCAGCAUGCACUUUUCAAGUUCAAGUUCGUGUUGCUUUUUGAGAAUCAAAUGCAGUCUGCUGGUUUAUCGUUUGUAGAGCGAAAAGUCAGGCUUGACGUUUUGCGUCAUCAACAAUGGAUGGGCGUUACUCAUCUUAAUAUACAUAUAUAUUGUCGUUGGUCACAUAGUUUCCCUGGCAAUGGCCAUCGCCGUUGGGUUCUCCCCUUUCUGCGCACAAACCAUAUCUCUUUAAGGUGAAAGUAAAAUUAUGCCAGAAAAAAAAACUAAUGCCAAGCAUAUAUUUAUGACUUUUCUAUCUUAUUUUUAUCCCCAUAUGUCUGGGACACGGAGGAUGCUAGUCGGAACGGACUCACUCGGUACUACUUCUUCUCUGUUGGAGCCCCGCCUUUUGUGACUCGCUGCUACGUCUUGCUUGUUGUGCCGUAGGCCUGGCCGCGCGAAAGAUCUCUGGCCCCGGGAAUAUUUUUGGGUGGGCCUGGCUGGCGUCCCUCGGCGUGGGAUUUGGUCACCUUGGUUUUGUUGUUUCCGUUAAAUCUAUAUGUUUGUUUGCACUUAAGUUCAUGAGUCAAACACCACAUUUUUUGUGUGCGUGGACUCCUCUGACUGGCAAUCUAUAUCGUCCUGGGAUACCUGUGUCCGAAGCUCAUAUUACUACGGCCCGCACACACUAAACGUAAACACAGAGUGAGACAAAACAAAUAGUUAUUUUGUCAUGGCGGCUGCCACCAGGCUACGAUGGACGGUCUCGAACGCUUCACCAAUAUGAGAACAUAUCAUACUGCCAUCAACCGCGACAAGAAAACUCCCAAUGUUAAUGCACACCAUGGCAAGAUCCACCUCCGUCGCUCUUCUGGCCAUUCUUGGGGUAUGCUGGGUGACAGGUGCGGCGCAGACUCGAAUCUAUAUCGUUGGUGUGGAUCCUAAAGCCAAGGGAGACUUUUCUCAGUAUCUGCGUUGAUAUUUUUGUUAUACCCUGAACUCAUUGAAAAUGGGUAAAAAGGGUAUAAUGUCUUUGUGCAAAUGUAUGAAACAGGCAGAAGGAAACAUUUCCGACCCCAUAAAGUAUAUAUAUUCUUGAUCAGCAUCGAUAGCCGAGUAGAUCUAGCCCUGUCCGUCUGUCUGUCCUUCCGUCUGUCCGUAUGUAUGAACGCAAGGAUCUCAGAACCUAUAAGAGCUAGAGAAUUGAAUUUUAGCUGUAGGUCCUCGUAGUACCUACGAGUUUGUUUCCGAUAUUCGAUAACUUGCCCCGUUUCCAAGUAAUCAAUAAAAAUCGAUAUCAAAAUACUGUUUUUUGGGCAAAUUGGGUAAAUAAUAAGAGCUAGAGUUACCAAACUUGAUAUGUUGCUUCUAGAAUAGUAUAUAUAUUAGUAUAUUUCGUUUUAUAACCAUCACCACCUCCCCGCUACCACUCCAAAGCUAUAAAUCAACAUAACACCAGCAAAGAAAGGACGUCACCGAAAGCUAAUGCCAACCGCCGAUGGGUACAACGUUGGAGAACAAAUUAUCUUAAUUGAGCACUUUCCACACAUUUCAGACAUUCAUACACGUAUAUAUUUAUUACCACGUUGAAAAUAAAUUGGGUUUCCCUGGCAAUGACCAUCGCCGUUGGGUUCUCCCCUUUCUGCGCACAAUCAACCACGACAAGAAAAACUUCCCAUGCUCAUGCGAUUUAUUUUAUUUCGCUCGUGCACAAAUAACAAUAAUAAAAUAAUUAUUUUCCCUUUUUAUUUUUUUAUGCAGGUGUAUAUUUAAACAAAAGAAAUAAUUCUAAUGAUGGCAACAAAAUCUUUUCUUCGUCAGGGGUCUCGAGCAUGAAUCUACAUCGGCGGCCUGCUACUCAUGGCGAGGAAGGACGACAUGACUCACUCGGAUGAUGUGGGCGUGGUCCCUCCCGUGGUCGCUUCUUAGACAGUCCUUCUGGGUAGCGUCGGUGACACGUGCGCCGAGGGUAUGGCUGAUGUGCGCCGCUGAGUCGAAACCUGGCCUGGGUGUGACUCUGUUGGCCUCUCUGGUCCGAGAGGUGGUCCAUUUGUUGCCGGAAUCCUGGGCCGUUUGUUCGUCCCGUGUCGCAUAUAAGUUUUAAGUUUUUUUAAUUUUUGUAUAUUUUCUCACAUUGCUUAAAUUCAUGUCUACUUAUUAAACAGCAAAAUAAAAAUAUUCAUUGUUAAAUUUA